rnacentral:lncRNA from 1 species
CUUGUAAGCGCAUGAUCUGCAAUCUCACGAUCUGCAAUCUCUAUGACAUAAUGUAAUCUAAAAAUAUGUUUAAUAUAACUGUGUUCUAAAUCCUACAAAAAGAAAUAAACUAAACAUUAAUACACUCCAAUAAUUAACUCCUCCACUUUGGCUCUCGGUAACAUUUCACUGAACACUUAACUUCAUCAUACAUAACUAUAAUAUUGGAAUGGAUUCUAGUUUCUCAGGACACUAAAUUGCUAAAAUAAAAAAAAAAGAUGAUUAGUCGAAUGAGCACGGCCGUACUCUAGCACUACUGACAACAAAACACAUAUGCAUUCUGUUAGGUUUGACUUCACAUCAUAAUUUGCCUAUCAAAAUUUCUGAAAUUAGAAAAAAAUGUUAAUCAAAGG